UCUCCUACGGGGGGCAGCAGUGGGGAAUAUUGCACAAUGGGGGAAACCCUGAUGCAGCGACGCCGCGUGAGUGAAGAAGUAUUUCGGUAUGUAAAGCUCUAUCAGCAGGGAAGAAAAUGACGGUACCUGAAUAAAAAGAACCGGCUAACUACGUGCAAGCAGCAGCGGUAAUACGUAGGGGGACAGCAUUAUCCGGAUUUACUGGGAGUAAAGGGAGCGCAGACGGCAGAGCAAGUCUGAAGUGAAAGCCCGCGGCCCAACUGCGGGACUGCUUUGGAACCUGCCCGGCUAGAGUGCUGGAGAGG
rnacentral:rRNA from 1 species